rnacentral:rRNA from 1 species
AUUGAACGCUGGCGGCAGGCCUAACACAUGCAAGUCGAACGAGUGGCGGACGGGUGAGUAAUGUCUGGGAAAAUGCCUGAUGGAGGGGGAUAACUACUGGAAACGGUAGCUAAUACCGCAUACCAUCGGAUGUGCCCAGAUGGGAUUAGCUAGUAGGUGGGGUAAAGGCUGACCUAGGCGACGAGCCCUAGCUGGUCUGAGAGGAUGACCAUGCACACUGGAACUGAGACACGGUCCAGCCUCCUACGGGCGGCAGCAGUGGGAAAUAUUGCACAAUGGGCGCAAGCCUGAUGCAGCCAUGCCGCGUGUAUGAAGAAGGCCUUCGGGUUGUAAAGUACUUUCGGCGGGGAGGCGUUACCCGCAGAAGAAGCACCGGCUAACUCCGUUCCAGCAGCCGCGGUAAUAC